UCUGAGACAGGUGCUGCAUGGCUGUCGUCAGCUCGUGUUGUGAAAUGUUGGGUUAAGUCCCGCAACGAGCGCAACCCUUAUCCUUUGUUGCCAGCGGUYMGGCCGGGAACUCAAAGGAGACUGCCAGUGAUAAACUGGAGGAAGGUGGGGAUGACGUCAAGUCAUCAUGGCCCUUACGAGUAGGGCUACACACGUGCUACAAUGGCGCAUACAAAGAGAAGCGACCUCGCGAGAGCAAGCGGACCUCAUAAAGUGCGUCGUAGUCCGGAUUGGAGUCUGCAACUCGACUCCAUGAAGUCGGAAUCGCUAGUAAUCGUAGAUCAGAAUG
rnacentral:rRNA from 1 species